UCCUUCCAAAAUCUUCCUUGUUCGUUUUUCUCGAACUUCUUUUGAAAUACACUUUUCUGGAUUUGCGAUGACAUCUUGCCGUAAAUUGCAUUCUCCAAGAAAUACUCGAAUCCUUAUACUCCAAACAUUGUAAUUUGUGAACACUAAUUUGGCACAAAACUUAGGAAACAUCAUUUUUUUUUAUAAUUUACCUCACCAAAAAUGCUAUCAAUAUGACAACCUUUGUGACGU
rnacentral:lncRNA from 1 species